GUUGAACGCUGGCGGCAGGCCUAACACAUGCAAGUCGAGCGGGGUUUUCGGACCUAGCGGCGGACGGGUGAGGAAUGCGUAGGAAGCUACCCGAAAGAGGGGGAUAGCAGGUGGAUACGCCUGUGAAUACCGCAUAAUGUCUACGGACCAAAGUGUGGGACCUUCAGGCCGCAUGCUAUCGGCUGCGUUUAGGUUGGCUUAGCUAGUUGGUGAGGUAAUGGCUCACCAAGGCGACGAUCCCUAGCUGGUUUGAGAGGAUGAUCUGCCACACUGGACCGGGGCCACGGGCCAGACUCCUACGGGAGGCAGCAGUGGGGAAGAUUGGACAAUGGGCGCAAGCCUGAUCCAGCCAUGCCGCGUGUGUGAAGAAGGCCUUCGGGUUGUAAAGCACUUUCAGUAGGGAGGAAGGGUGUUGUGUUAAUAGCACAGCAUUUUGACGUUACCUACAGAAGAAGCACCGGCUAACUCUGUGCCAGCAGCCGCAGUAAAAC
rnacentral:rRNA from 1 species